UUCAUAAAACCCUACUGCCCCUUUCUCACUCUCUUCCCCCUUCCUCUCAAAAACUCAAAACCCUAGAGAGAGAAAGAGGUUGCAAUUUUUGAUCUUGCGAAAAUGUCGAUGUCUAAGAGUUCCAAGAUGCUGCAGUACAUUAACUACCGAAUGCGGGUGACUAUCCAAGAUGGCCGUCAACUCAUCGGAAAAUUCAUGGCGUUCGACCGACACAUGAACCUCGUCCUUGGUGACUGCGAAGAGUUCCGCAAAUUACCCCCGACGAAAGGUUCCAAGGAAGAGCGCGAAGACCGCCGCACACUAGGCCUCGUCCUCCUCAGGGGCGAAGAAGUUAUCUCGCUCACCGUCGAAGGCCCUCCUCCCCCCGACGACUCUCGUCUCAAAACCACUUCCGCUAACGCAAUUCCUGGGCCCGGAAUCGGCCGAGCUGCGGGCCGUGGUGUCGUUACUGGGCCGCUCACCCAGGCCCAGCCUGGACUCGCUGGGCCUGUCCGCGGUGUCGGUGGGCCCGCGCCGGGUAUGAUGCAACCCCAGAUCUCUAGGCCUCCUCAGAUAUCAGUUCCGCCUAUGUCUUAUCCUCCGCAGCCUCAGGUGGUUAGACCGCCGGCUGUGGCUCCCCCGCCGGGAGGGUUUCCGCCAAGGCCUGGAAUGCCGCUGCCUCCUCCGCCACAGUUCAGGCCCGGUGUACAGCCACCAGGUGGGUUUGCGCCUCCACCUCAGUUUGGACAGAGGCCCCCUAUGGCGCCCCCUCCUCAGAUGAUGAGGGGGCCACCACCACCUGGGCCACCAAGACCGGGAAUGCCUGGAGGUCCUCCACCUGGCCAGCAGCCACCAAGACCGGGAAUGCCGCCUCCACCACCAGGUGGACAAGUUCAGAUGUUUGGUCCACCAAGGCCUGGAAUGCCACCUCCGCCCAAUGCGCCGCAGAAUCAGCAGUAGUAAGGAAGGUGAUUUCUUUAGGGAUUUCUCAGUUCAGCUGAUCAACUGCCUUGAAGAUUUAUCCCAAGAAAGCUAGUGGUGGAUUUGGACCUGCUAUGAGCAAUCUCUUCGCUAUUGGAGUACAGUUUCAUGAAUACUCAGCAGACAUUUCACGAAGUCCUGCAUUCCAUCCGCACCUGUUCACUCAUCUACAGUUAAUGUUUUCAGAUUCGCUUCUUACCAGUGAAUUUUCUUUCAGCGUAUGGCAAAUGCAAUCUUAUUUCAAUCCCUCCAGAAACUUGAUUGCUCAAAGGUGUCUUUUACUAAAGCAGAAAAAAUAACUAAUUGGCAGUUGAUUGAAUUACAGUUACAAAAGUUGGAGUAGAUUUUAGUGGAAAAAGAGAAAUGGAAAGACAUUAGAAAAUAGAACACAAGAUUUCAAUCUGCGGUGGUAAAGAUUCAUAUUUUUUUGGCUAUAAACGAAGAGGCUAACACGGCGGAAGCUUACACUGAAGCAAACUGCACAUCUCAUCUUGUCCUCUA